UAGAUCUGAAGGCUUCAGUGGAUCCCAGUUCAAUGCUUUGGGAGCAAGCCAUUCAUUGAUGAUGCUGUGUAGCACCUGUCAUGGCAUCUGGAGCCACGUUAUGUGGCUAUUCAUGAUGCUGAUGGCCAGUCUCUCCAUUUGAGUAUGUAUUUUUUACUUUGUAGUUAGUUUCAAAUCAUAAUUAGUUGGUGGGAUGCAUUUAUUUAAUUUUAAUGACAUGUAAUAUGUUUGCAUCCAUUCUUGAGGAAGCAAAGUGUUUUGUUUGGCGCAGGCCUGCAGGGCAGGGCAGUCCAGCAUGCCUCUGUUCACACCAGGCAGAUUCCCACUUCUCUGUAAGUGAGAUUCAGAGGGCAUUCCCACCAAGGGCAGCUGGGACAAUUCUGUUGUUUAACCGGUUUUAGGGGCUAAGUAAAAUAUGGGAAUCUGGGGAUAAUUUUAGUCUUAUUUACGUUUUUAAUUGGUAAUACAUUCAUGGGAUGCAAAAUUCAAAAUAUAUAAAAAGGGUAAACAGUGAAGACCUGUUCUAGAUACUUGUUACUAUUUACGGGUAGCAAACCACCUCAAAAUAGUGACUUGGAAGAGUAAUGGUGUCCUUAUUUAGUAAUGAAGCAGGGGGUGGGUGGUGAAUAAUGGGCUCUGGUGAUCCAUUCUUACUCGGGGUCUCUUGCAGUUGCUAUCAGUGGCUGUGGCUGCAGCCAUCAAAGCUUUCUUCAUUCUUGUCUGCUGCGGAAGCUGGAAAGACUCAAAAACAGCUGGGGUCAGGAGAAGCUGCACUCCCUGGGUGCCUCUUCUCUCUGCCCCUCACUCUGUGGCCUCCUGGUGGCCUCCUGGUCACUGGGCCUCUUACGUGGCAGCUGAUGGCUACUGCAGUGAUUGUCCCUAGGAGAACUUGCAGACACUGAAAAUCCUUUCCAAUGCAGCUUUGGACCUGGUACAGUAUGACUCCUUCUGCAUUUAAUUCAUUGGGACAGUGGCAAAGGCCCACCAGGGCAAGGAAAAGGCCACAGACUCUGAGAGGAGGAGGGGCAAAGAAUUUGCAGCUGUGCUUGAAAACCAUCAUGUUCUCCUACAUUUCCCUUUUGCCAGACACCCAGUUCACUUUUCCCAAUGUAACUGAUGUCACCAGUCUCCUGUGAAGCAUUUAAGAGAUGCUGUAUGUACAACAUAAUCAUAUUCUCACUUAGCAUGGUGUAUUUAUUUGUUCUGUGCUUUGAUUUUUUUCCUUAACAGUUAUUUCAUGGUUAUUUCACUGAUUAUUCAGGUCAGUCCACAAACUGGAUCUUGAUUAUUUAAAUGCCUUUGUAGUAUCACAUUAUAUAGAUGUACUAUAAUGUUUAACCACUUAUCUGUUAGUGGUUAAUUUAGGUGAUUUCAACAAUUAUCAUUGUUAAAACUAAUUAUCAUUGGUAAAAUUUUAACAAUUAUCAUUGUUAAAAAACAAUGUGUUGUUACACAUGUGAAGAUUUUAUUUUCUUAUUUUUAAAGAUCACUACUUGUAUUUUUUCAAUUAUUGAAAAGGAUUUAAGGAGGAUUCUGAUAUAGAAUAAACGUUUGAGGCAAGUAAAAAGGUGAGAUACUCCACAUUUUUUAUAAACAUAAGGAUUUCUGAAUAAUUCAAAAAUGCCCCCUUUUCUGAAUCCUAUCAAUGAGUGAGACAUGAGCAUUUACACCCUCUUUGAGAUUAUUAGGCUGGUAGAAACACUCUGAGAUGUUAUAAGUAGAUGUCUAUUUCCACAAUGACAUCUACUCUCUAUGAGGAAAAAUUCUUAAUUUAAAAAAGAUUUCCUCAUGACCCCAUAGGGCUUGGUACAAAAUUUUCAUUAUUUCUGCAAAUCCUUCUCCAACAUCUAGUUGAGGUGAAUGAUUUACCCUUGGAUUUUGUGCACUUUCCUCACAAAAUAUAUUCUACUUUUACCAUCUCCUCUCUUCUUCUUAGCUAAUAAUUUAUUUUACAGAUUCAUAGGAAACAUCACAGUUUAGUUUUGUACAGUGACAUGAUGUAGGGAGUAGGGAUGAGAAUUUCAGCAAAAGUCUAUAGGCAAGAGAGAAGACAAUGCCAUGUGGUUGAAAAGGCAGGAUACUGGAGCCAGAAAACCUACCAUUUACAUACCUGGCCAUGGGCUAGUCCGUCCUUCCUUCUUUCCUUCCUUCCUUCCUUCCUUCCUUCCUUCCUUCCUUCCUUCCUUCCUUCCUUCCCUCCCUCCCUCCCUCCCUCCCUUGUCUUUGUACAAGAUUUUAUUAAAUGUCUUUAAAGAGCAAUAUCCAGACUCCAGAUACAGCUUCCAAGGAGACCCUGUUAGGCUAUAGGGACUGGCUGGGGCAUGGCAGACGGCUCUUGCUUUGCAUCCUUCAGUUCUGAGAUGUGGUGGUGGGCAGGAUCUCAUCUUUGGGUUCCACGAUGCUCACAUGGUCAGGCAGAGGCUUCUUCUGGGCCACUUGGGUCCCAGAGCAGCAUGAUCUUCACUUUGAUGCCCAGCACACUAGAGGACAACAGAUAGGAACUAGACAGUGCUUCACCAGCAACCCCUCCAUCCCCCACCCCACCCCCCCCACACACACACACAACAUACAGAAUAGAAGAGAGCAGUUCACUCCAGCACCACUGGAUCUGGCCUCUUCUCAUGGUUCAUCAACUUUCAAAAAAUCAAUUUCCUCAUCUGAAAAUGAGAUAAUACUUACUUACAAAAGCAUGUUGUCAUGAAAACAAAAAGAAAGCGCUCAACUCAUAUUUACAGAGUUCCUGCUGUGUCUAGGUGUAUUUAUACACUUGGUCUCAUUAGUCCUCCAAGGAGUUCACUAGCUGUCAUCCUUAGUGGCUGUAUUAAGUUCGUAAAGCUGCUGUAACAAAUUUCAGGUGGUUUAACAAUCAAAGUUUAUUCUCUCAAGGUGUUAUAGUUCAGAAGUUUUAAUCAAGUUGUUGGCAGAGUUGAUUCCUUCUGGAAAAUUUGAGGGAGAAUCCAUUCUGUUCCUCUCUCCUGACUUCUGGUAGCUGAUCACAAUUCUUGACAUUCUGCGACAUGUGGCUAUGUCACUCCGAUCUUUACCUAUGUCUUCAUAUACCCUUCCCAUCUGUGUUUGUCUCUGUCUUCUUUACUCUUACAAAUUCAUUGAAUUAGGGGCCCACCUUAAAUCCAAGAUGAUCUCAGCUUGACAUCCUUAAUUUAAUUCUAUAUUUAUACUUAUGAAUGUGACCCUGUUUUCUAAAUAAGGGGUCAGGAAUUGGAUGUAUCUUUUGGGGACCACAAUUUAACUCACUAUAGUGACCAAGCUAAGAAUUAAAUCCAGACUCUUUCUGAUUUCAGGUGCAGCGUACUUGGACUGUACAAUGACCUCUCCCUCUGGGAGACUGCUUUGCCUGGUUAAGGAGCACAUCAUGGAUUCUUCUCAUCCUGGGGUUACAUGGUUCCCUGUGCUUUUAAUUUAUACCAGGAAGUAGCUUGGACAACUGGUAGAAGUCACUGAGUCUCUAAAUUUUUGAUUUGGUGAUAAGGGCAUACCUGCCUAAAUAAUUUUUGAAUAGUAGUUGGGUUAUGCACUCAGGAUUUGUUAAAUCAUCCAAUCUUAUAACUAACACUUAUUAUUAUUUUUAUGUGUCACACCUGGGCUAAUUGCUUCACAUGCAUCAUCCCAUAUCACCAUUUCUCAUUUAUAGAAGACACUGAGAUUCCCAGGUGGCAUAUCUCAGGUUACAGAGCUGCUAAGUAGUACAGUUGAGAUUUGAACACAGGCGAUGUGACACUAAGUCCCAGGCUCUUGAAACUACAGUAGAGUUACAUUGCCACUGCUCUGUUGGCAAGGAGUCAGCUUCCCUGCCACCAAGCUGGCCCCUAGGCAAUUAGGCUUAGCAAACAAAGACUUGUUAAUCAUGACAAUUAACCACAUAUUUCUAAUAGGAACAGACUGGGCAUUCAGAUAUCUCUUUGUUUAUUUUCCUUCAUUUCAUUUUUGGAGUGACACCAUUGAAAGAUACUUGGAACUAUUGAAUGAAAGUACUUGGAACCUAAGCUUAGCUUUUAGGAAAAAAUAAAAUCAGGGUAUUUCCUUUCAUCGUUAUGAUUCCAGGCCCUUUGGUCUGGAGUUUCCCUAUGCAUUCAUUACUCAGAACAGUUGCUUUGAGUUCGUCAGCACAUUAAAAUGCAAUUUUAAGAAAAUACAGCAUUUCUCUUCCACCACAAACUAGAUUUAUUUUGGUUUGCUGUCAAUGUAAAACAAAUUUCCCUUCAACAGGGUAAUAUAAUAAAGCCUCAGAACUAGGAGGAAGGAUGUAGUAAGUAAGACCUAGUCAGCACUCUAAUUCUUUCUUUCUGAUUAAUAUUUUUAAAUUAUCUUUGGCUGAAACAAGAAAGAUAAAUCAUUAAUAUGACCCAAGUCUAAACAAAAGCUUAUUGCUUUACAGUAUAUUCAUUUAUUUUUAAUGCUCGUGUCAGUUUUUAAAGGAUGACUUUAUAACAGUAUUUAACUACUUAAAACAUUAACUACCAGUCUGCUGGUCCAUCAUCUUAACUUAAAUGCUGAACUAAACUAGAAUUGCUCAUUGCCUCCUCUCCCCUGUAAUGAAAUUUGUUAAUGAUGGUGUAUUUAUGCUUAUAUGGAAGAGGUCAUCUUCUUUUGUAUGUUCUUUCUUUAAUUAACUCAGUAUCCUUGAGAAAGAAUUUCAGCCUAAAUGUCUUACUGAUGGAUUUAUUAUUUUCCUCUUAACGUAAUAAUGUCACUUGUAUUUAGAGAAUCAAGCCAUUACACCAGCUUUGCUUCAACUCUGAAGCUGUCUUUGUAAAUCAUGCAUUCAAGAGGAUCUUGGGAACAUAUUCUGUGAUUCAGGCUUGUAACUUAAUUAUGCUUGGGAAUGAGCAAGAUUAGGGAACAAAAACAGGAAUUCUGGCAACAAAGGAAAGAACUGGCCUCCUUGCCCAUUUGCUGAGCUACUUCCUCUCCUCUGCAUUGGACCCCAACAUGUCACCAGGACAAGAGGCAAGAAACAUGGGUGGAUUGCCUGCAAUUGGGAGUCUGAGUAUUUAGACUUUUAAUGUAGAAUAUUAGUGGUUGUAUGUAAAGUUUCUAUUUUAUUAUUUGAAGUAUUUCAUGCAAAUAAUAAAAAUAAAC
rnacentral:lncRNA from 1 species